ensembl:piRNA 21ur-607 ncRNA
UGAAAGAACGGAAGGAUUUGU